CCUACGGGAGGCAGCAGUGAGGAAUAUUGGUCAAUGGCCGAGAGGCUGAACCAGCCAAGUCGCGUGAGGGAAGAAUGUCCUACGGAUUGUAAACCUCUUUUGUAAGGGAGUAAAGUCACCCACGUGUGCCUGUUUGUGAGUACCUUAUGAAAAAGCAUCGGCUAACUCCGUGCCAGCAGCCGCGGUAAUACGGAGGAUGCGAGCGUUAUCCGGAUUUAUUGGGUUUAAAGGGUGCGUAGGGGGGUUAUCAAGUCAGCGGUAAAAUCGUGGGGCUCAACUGCAUACAGCAGUUGAAACUGAGGAUCUUGAGUGGGCGAGAAGUAUGCGGAAUGCGUGGUGUAGCGGUGAAAUGCAUAGAUAUCACGAAGAACUCCGAUUGCGAAGGCAGCAUACCGGCGUGCCACUGACGCUGAUGCACGAAAGCGUGGGUAUCGAACAGGAUUAGAUACCCGUGUAGUC
rnacentral:rRNA from 1 species